rfam:Streptococcus agalactiae A909, complete genome.
GAGUGUUAUGAUGAUGGAAUCAAUCGAUUCUUAGUCUAGCUCUGGUCUACCGCUGAGAAUUAUUCUCAGCGG